AAUGAACGCUGGCGGCAGGCUUAACACAUGCAAGUCGAGCGAGCGGCGGACGGGUGAGUAAUGUCUGGGAACCUGCCUGAUGGAGGGGGAUAACUACUGGAAACGGUAGCUAAUACCGCAUACCAUCAGAUGUGCCCAGCUGGGAUUAGCUAGGAGGUGGGUUAAGGGCACACCUAGGCAACGAUCCCUAGCGGUUCUGAGAGGAUGAGCAGGCACAUGGGAACUGAGACACGGUCCAUAGUCCUACGGUAGGCAGCAGUGGGGAAGAUUGAACAGUGGGCGCGAGCCUGGUGCAGCCAUGCCGCGUGUGUGAAGAAUGCCUUGGGGUUGUAAAGCACUUUCAGCGAGGGGUCGUUACUCGCAGAAGAAGCACCGGCUAACUCCGUGCCAGCAGCCGCGGUAAUUC
rnacentral:rRNA from 1 species